UAAUCCGACCUAGGCUCAUCUGAUAGCGCAAGGCCCGAAGGUCCCCUGCUUUCUCCCGUAGGACGUAUGCGGUAUUAGCGUCCGUUUCCGAACGUUAUCCCCCACUACCAGGCAGAUUCCUAGGCUUUACUCACCCGUCCGCCGCUCUCAAGAGAAGCAAGCUUCUCUCUACCGCUCGACUUGCAUGUGUUAGGCCUGCCGCCAGCGUUCAAUCUGAGCCAGGAUCAAACUCU
rnacentral:rRNA from 1 species